CCUCCUCUGGACUUGCUCCCAAAGGUCCCGGUCCUUCCUGUGCUGGGGACCCCAGAGCUGGAUGCAUUACAGUCAAGUUCUUGUUUUCCAGGGUAAUGCCAAGUAAUAUGCUCACUACAGAACAUGGUGAAGAGCAGUUUGGAGGCCCACCUGGACACCUUAACAGUGUAUCUUGCACUACACUGAAGCAAGGGAAGAAGGAAAUAUCCAUCCUGUUCUAGAGUCAAGAUACUUUAUAAAGCAACUUCCAUAAUCUAAUGUUAGCCACGGAGCACAGAGGAGGUAGUUACUCCUAAGUCAGCACACAAAAGUUUAGAUUCCAUGAACUGAUGAACGUCUGCUAGUGAUACAGCUUGAAUGACUCUUUGUAGUUUGCCCUAAUUCUACAAGUCUAUGUAUAAAUUUUUCUCAUUAUAAUCUACAUUCUCUCUGUACCAUUGCUGUCUUCUGCUGUCUCCAGGUAUUUGUAAGGAUUUUAACAAGGACAAAUGUCAGAUUCCGCACCUGGGAUUGGGCAGCCCCACAUGUAUGGACAAACUGGGGAACAGGACACUGGAGAGCACCACUGGGGAAAGGAACCUGGGGAUCCUGGUCUACAGAAAGUUGGAUAUGAGUCACAAGAGGGCCAGCUGUGUCCUAGGGGUCAUCAGGCCCAGCAUCACCAGCUGGGCCAAGGCAGGAAUUGUCCUGCUCUGCUCUGCUCUGCUCUGCACUGGGGUAGCCUCACCUUGAGUGCUGGAGGCAAUUCUGGGCGCCCCAAUAUCAAAAGGGUAUAAAGCUAUUAGAGGACAUCUAAAGGAGAGCAACAAAUAUGGUGAAGGGUCUUGAGAAGAUGCCCUGCAAGGAGUGGCUGAGGUCACUUGGCUUGCCCAGCCUGGAGGAGAGGGUGACUGAUAGGUGUAGUCAUUUAGGAAUGGUACUCUCCAAUUUAUUGCUUCCACUGAAACCGUGCACUCACUGUCCUUCCUUCCCACCCUACCCUACCACAUGGUGGGCUAGAGAGGAGAACAGGCAGCACAAAAGCUGUGGGAACCUGAGCAGUGGAAAAGAAGGGUUUGAAAAGCAUCUGCUGAAGUGUCCUGGGUUAAACACUACCCUCAUCCUGGGCUUCUCUCACUUGUGCAGAGGAUUUCAAGCUAAACAGGAAAGCAAGAUUUCCUUACCAUUUGGUAUUCUUACCUCAGUGUAUGCUCUCUCUGCUACAGCUCAAUCCAGUUAGCUUGAGUCACAGGAAAGCAUUUCUGGAGAUUUUAGAGGAGUACUGCCUUAGCAUGGAAAUGUUCAAAAGACUUUUAGAUGAGGCACUGAGAGAUGUGGUUUAGUGGUGGGUUUGGUACUGUGGGGGCAACAGCUGGACACAAUGGUAUUAGAGGUCUUUUGAAACCUAAAUGAUUCUGUGAUUCUACCUGCACAAGUGACAAGAAUUCAGAAGUUCCUCAAAACAAGCAAAUUGGAAAGGGUCAUAGUCUCAGAAAGGAAUCAAUGAUGUUUAUAUUGAGACUGUAUUGCAGGUACAAUCAAGACACGUGUUGUGACACUGAUACAGUACUCAACAAAAUGUACUCCAAGAGUUUAUCUCAUGAGAAAGCAAAAUUGUUGAGAUCCUUCUUGUUUUGCUGUCAUAAGAAAAAAGAAAAAAAGCAUAAUUGGGUAAAAAUGACAUGUCCUCUAGAUGGUGAGUUCUGUUUUGAUUGAGGAAAUUAAAUGCGGGAUCAGAUAAGGGCUAGUGAAACACCUCUCUUCAAUUUUCAGCUUGGUCAUAUGGGAACUCUUGUCCAGUGGAGUGCACAAAAGCCUGGAAAUACCUGGAAAUACAUACCUGCUGCUACUGAAAGUUCAGCUGUUCUUGUCAGGUGGGAAGGACUUACCAGGACCUAUGUGGUGAUGGAAACUUGGAGAACACCAAACCAAGGAGUGAGGGAAACAGGAGUUUUAAGCUGUAAUUGGAAAAGAUAGGAAAUAGCGGAAGAGAGGGGAAAACUUGGCAUUGAAUGAAUGAAGACUUCGGCAGAAAUAACACCCAAAUUAAGUAAUGAAGAGUAGAAUAACUAACAUCUAUCUGCAGCCUCCUGGAAACAAGCUGUUAACACACCUGAUUUGCACAACUUUCUGCUCUGAAAACACUAAGCAAAAAAAUAUGUGGCUAAAAAGGCAGGAUUCUGAGAUCAAGACCACAACUUAAGCUGUCUAGUACCUGAGCCACUAUUAUUUAUUGUGGUCUUCUUUCUUCACUUUGUCAUAUCAUGACUUUGAUGCCCAAUUUGGAAUUUUCUAAGGAUGGUCUGAACCAGUACUAGAUCUUCAGCACAGAGACAGAGGCUUUUCCAAUCUUUAAUACUUUGUUUCUCUGCCUAAAUAAUUUUAAAGACCUUCCCCAAGUAACUAAAAAUUUCAUUUCUCAUACUGUCCCAUAUUAUCCCUCAUAUUAUCAUUUGAGGAUUAAUAUUAGGAUUGUUCGUCAUGUGUCAUCUGAAUAUACCUGUUGAGAUGUUCAUUCUCCAGAGCUCAGAUCAGUCUUCUGGCCCAGGGUCUGCAUGCACACUGUCCUUCUUGCUGCCAGCAUGGAGUGUGACCUACCAGCAUGACCUGGGGAACUUUAGCGUGUCCCUUUAUUUCCUGGCUACUCUGUCAGCCCCAUGUAUCCACCAGCAGCUCAGAAAUUGGCCUGAAUCAAAAAAUUGGUUGUGAAUCAAAAUAACACUAAAGACAUGCCUGCAGCCCUCAUUUCUGCUCUGCGAAGCCUGCCCAGCUGUAACUAAGAACCAUAGCUCGCACUAUGGAAAAUGCAUAGUCUUUCCUGCCUGGUUCUUGGGGUGUUUAAAGAAAUGUUAAUGAAUAAGUGCUGUGCACUUAUGCAAAGCAGGAGAUUACCACACCACGCUGCAUGAAUAAGGGAAUCAUGCCAUGAUGUAGUAUGGGCCAAGAGCCACGGAGUGGAUUCAUUAGUACCACUAAGUGGAGACUAUCACAUGGGUCUUGUUCUCAGUCUUGCACACUAAAUCCCCAAAGCGUGAUCUUCUGUUUGAACAGUAGAUACACACUGCCCAAAAAAACCUGUUACG